CCUACGGGAGGCAGCAGUGGGGAAUCUUGCGCAAUGGGCGAAAGCCUGACGCAGCCAUGCCGCGUGAAUGAUGAAGGUCUUAGGAUUGUAAAAUUCUUUCACCGGGGACGAUAAUGACGGUACCCGGAGAAGAAGCCCCGGCUAACUUCGUGCCAGCAGCCGCGGUAAUACGAAGGGGGCUAGCGUUGCUCGGAAUUACUGGGCGUAAAGGGAGCGUAGGCGGAUAGUUUAGUCAGAGGUGAAAGCCCAGGGCUCAACCUUGGAAUUGCCUUUGAUACUGGCUAUCUUGAGUACGGAAGAGGUAUGUGGAACUCCGAGUGUAGAGGUGAAAUUCGUAGAUAUUCGGAAGAACACCAGUGGCGAAGGCGACAUACUGGUCCGUUACUGACGCUGAGGCUCGAAAGCGUGGGGAGCAAACAGGAUUAGAUACCCUGGUAGUCCACGCUGUAAACGAUGAGUGCUAGUUGUCGGCAUGCAUGCAUGUCGGUGACGCAGCUACGCAUUAAGUACACCUCCGCCGUCGGGGUAGGUACGGGUCGGCGAAGAAUUAAAACUUAACAAAUAGAAGUUAGUACGGCGUGAGACGUCGCCGACGGACGACGACGAGGGAGGUUAGG
rnacentral:rRNA from 1 species